CGCAGCCUGAUGGAGCACACCGCGUGAGUGAAGAAGGGUUUCGGCUCGUAAAGCUCUGUUGUUAAAGAAGAACACGUAUGAGAGUAACUGUUCAUACGUUGACGGUAUUUAACCAGAAAGUCACGGCUAACUACGUGCCAGCAGCCGCGGUAAUACGUAGGUGGCAAGCGUUAUCCGGAUUUAUUGGGCGUAAAGAGAGUGCAGGCGGUUUUCUAAGUCUGAUGUGAAAGCCUUCGGCUUAACCGGAGAAGUGCAUCGGAAACUGGAUAACUUGAGUGCAGAAGAGGGUAGUGGAACUCCAUGUGUAGCGGUGGAAUGCGUAGAUAUAUGGAAGAACACCAGUGGCGAAGGCGGCUACCUGGUCUGCAACUGACGCUGAGACUCGAAAGCAUGGGUAGCGAACAGGAUUAGAUACC
rnacentral:rRNA from 1 species